rnacentral:rRNA from 1 species
UACGUAGGGUGCAAGCGUUGUCCGGAAUUAUUGGGCGUAAAGAGCUCGUAGGCGGUCUGUCGCGUCUGCUGUGAAAACUCGGGGCUUAACCCCGGGCCUGCAGUGGGUACGGGCAGACUAGAGUGCGGUAGGGGGAGAACGGAAUUCCUGGUGUAGCGGUGAAAUGCGCAGAUAUCAGGAGGAACACCGGUGGCGAAAGGCGAUUCUCUGGGCAUGUCCUGACGCUGAGGAGCGAAAGCGUGGGGGAGCAAACAGGAU